AGCUGGGCACCCUAGUAGGGACGGCUCCUCCUAGUGUUCAGUUUGCACCUGGUAAUGUUUUGGCACCAUCCGUCUACUACUAAGAGGGAGGUCUUUUUUCUAGAUGAGGAAACUGAAGCUUGGAAAGAGUCCAGCCCAGAACGAGGAAAAUGCUCCCUGGCCCCAUUGGUAUUGGACUUGGCCAUGACUUACUCUGGCUAAUGGGAUAUGAACCAGUGUGACAUGAACAAAGAUUUGAAAUAUAGUUGGUAGAAAUCUCCUCUAGUGCUUCUGCCAUGACCAUGAGAGGAAUAAGCCCUAGCUAGCUGGCUGAUCCCAGAAGAAUGAGAGCUGUGGAUUGGAGCCACUCCAGCCUAUCUGUGGGAGUGUAGAAGAAAAAGAAAACUGUCCCAACUGACUGCACACCUUUGAGCCUGAAAAUAAUGCUUAUUGUUGUAUGUCAUUGAGUUUUGGGGAUGUUUGUCAUGUAGCAAUUGCUAACUGAUACAAUAUAUAUGUUUACUUUUUUUCUAAACUGUAUGGGAACAUAUAUACAAUAUUGUGCACCUUGCUUUCUUCACAUAAUGUGUAUUGGAAAUUGCUCUGUAUUGGUACAUGUACAUGUCUCUCAAUUUUAAUGGCUGUAUAAUAUUCCAUCUUAUAGUAUGUUCCUUAUUGAUGGAUGGGUAGGUUGCUUCUGUCUUUUCCUAUUAUAGGUUGAAUAUCCCUUAUCUGAUGCUUAGGACCAGAAAUGUUUUGGAGUUCAGAUUUUUUUGGAUUUUGGAAUGUUUGCAUUAUGUACUUACUAGUUGAGCAUCCCUAAUCCAGAAAUCUGAAAUCUGAAAUAUUUCAAUGAGCAUUUACCUUUGAGUGUCAUGUUGGUACUCAAAAAGUUUUGAAUUUUGAAGCAUUAAAUGAUGAUUUUGGAUUUGGGAUGCUCAACUUGUACAACAAUAUUGUAAUGACUCAUAAUUAUAUUGCAGGACAAGUACCUGGAAGGAGAAAUUACCAGGUCAAAGAGUAUGUUCAAAACUGUUGAACCAAUUUACACUCUCACCAUCCGUAUAUGACAACUGUUGUUUCCCCACAAUAGGGAUAUUACUUUGAGGAUGCCUCUUUACUGCAGCAGAAGUUCUGAUUCUUGUUCUACAGCCCCACAGUCUUCAAACCUCACCAUGAGGUUUCAAAAAGCAGUGUUUUCCCAGAGUGGUAUGUGAUUUUAGGUGGUACCAGAGACGAUUUUUAAAAGGUACACAGAAAAGAUACUAAUGAACAAUGAAUCACGCAGUGAUAAAAUGAUUCACUUUCCAAAUCUCUACUGCUCCUCUGAUUCCAUCAGGGAGAAAGUCCCAGCUGGAUGCUGAUGUAUUUUAACACUUCUCUAGCAGUUGCUAAUUUUCCCUUGAACUCAGAGCCUUCGGUGGGCAGUAGUACUUAGCUUUCACUGGAUUCAUUAAAAAAAAUUAAUUUGUUUUUAAUGGACAAAUAAAAACUAAAUAUAUUUAUCAUGUACAAUGUGAUGUUUUGAAAUGUAUAUGUGGUGGAAUGACUAAAUUGAGUUAUUUAACAUACGCAUUACUUCACAUCCUUACCAUUUUUUUAUGGUAAGAACACUUAAAAUCUACUGUCUUAGCAUAAUUUUCAAGAAUACAAUACAUACUUAUGGUCACUAUGUUGUACAAUAGACCUCUUGAACUCAUUCCUCGUAUUUAACUAACAUGUUGUAUCCUUUGACCAAUCCUCAUUUCCUGGUAAUCACUGUAUUCAUUUUUUACCAGUUAAUUUUAUUUACUGGCUAAUGUUCCUGAUUUUUCUUUGUUGGAGAGUGAUUGCAAAUUUCCUUUGAAAAUAAAUUUAUUUCAUUACAAAAAGC
rnacentral:lncRNA from 1 species